rnacentral:rRNA from 1 species
AUGAACGCUGGCGGCGUGCUUAAUACAUGCAAGUCGAACGUGAGGCUGGAUUUCGGUUCAGCUGAAAGUGGCGGACGGGUGAGUAACACGUGGCUGACCUACCCUGUAGUGGGGGAUAACCUGCCGAAAGGCGGGCUAAUACCGCAUAGACUCUGAGGGUUUAGAAACUUUAGAGGAAAGCUUUAGUGCUACAGGCAGGGGCUGCGGCCCAUCAGCUAGUUGGUAGGGUAACGGCCUACCAAGGCGGUGACGGGUAGGGGACCUGAGAGGGUGGCCCCCCACACUGGGACUGAGACACGGCCCAGACUCCUACGGGAGGCAGCAGUAAGGAAUAUUGGUCAAUGGGCGCAAGCCUGAACCAGCAACGCCGCGUGGAGGAAGAAGGGUUUCGGCUCGUAAACUCCUUUUAGGUGGGACGAGACAGGACGGUACCACUUGAAUAAGUCUCGGCUAACUACGU